AGAACGAACGCUGGCGGCAUGCCUAAUACAUGCAAGUCGAACGAACACUUCGGUGUUAGUGGCGCACGGGUGCGUAACGCGUGGGAAUCUGCCCUUGGGUUCGGAAUAACAGUUGGAAACGACUGCUAAUACCGGAUGAUAUCGAAAGAUCAAAGAUUUAUCGCCCAGGGAUGAGCCCGCGUAGGAUUAGCUAGUUGGUGAGGUAAAGGCUCACCAAGGCGACGAUCCUUAGCUGGUCUGAGAGGAUGAUCAGCCACACUGGGACUGAGACACGGCCCAGACUCCUACGGGAGCAGCAGUAGGGAAUAUUGGACAAUGGGCGCAAGGCCUGACUCCAGCAAUGCCGCGUGAGUGAUGAAGGUCCUUAGGGUAGUAAAGCUCUUUACCCGAGAUGAUAAUGACAGUA
rnacentral:rRNA from 1 species